rnacentral:rRNA from 1 species
UACGAAGGGGGCGAGCGUUGUUCGGAUUUACUGGGCGUAAAGGGCGCGCAGGCGGCUAUCCAAGUCAGGCGUGAAAGCCCCGGGCUUAACCUGGGAGGUGCGUCUGGGACUGGGUGGCUAGAGUUCGGGAGAGGUGAGUGGAAUUCCGAGUGUAGAGGUGAAAUUCGUAGAUAUUCGGAGGAACACCAGUGGCGAAGGCGGCUCACUGGCUCGGUACUGACGCUGAGGUGCGAAAGCGUGGGGAGCAAACAGG